rnacentral:rRNA from 1 species
UACGUAGGGGGCUAGCGUUGUCCGGAUUUAUUGGGCGUAAAGAGCGUGUAGGCGGCCAGGUAGGUCCGCUGUGAAAGUCCGAGGCUCAACCUCGGAAUGUCGGCGGAAACCCUCUGGCUAGAGUCCGGAAGAGGAGAGUGGAAUUCCCGGUGUAGCGGUGAAAUGCGCAGAUAUCGGGAAGAACACCCGUGGCGAAGGCGGCUCUCUGGAACGGUACUGACGCUGAGACGCGAAAAGCGUGGGGAGCGAACAGG